AUGCAGUUAUACAUGAACCCUGGCCCACCGACCUUAGAAAAUAAAUUUAAGCAUGAUACAACCAGUGGGGGAACCUGUUGCUUGUACACUUCUUACCUUCUCAACAGUUUGUUGACCUUGGGGGAUACCACUCUGUGCUAUGAGGAAAUGUGCCUUCAAGGAAAAGGGGCAACAACAUCCCACUGUGUUCCCAGGAGUCCCAGGAGCUUUAUGAGAAUCGAGAUUGUUGCCUUAGGAAAAGAGCUGUUAGAAAUUUGGAAACUGGUGAUGCUUCCUAAUGGCUGGUGA
rnacentral:lncRNA from 1 species